rnacentral:misc_RNA from 1 species
GAUGAAGAACGUAGCGAAAUGCGAUAACUAAUGUGAAUUGCAGAAUUCAGUGAAUCAUCGAGUCUUUGAACGCACAUUGCGCCCCCUGGUAUUCCGGGGGGCAUGCCUGUCCGAGCGUCAUUGCUGCCCUCAAGCACGGCUUGUGUGUUGGGCUCCGUCCCCCCGGGGACGGGCCCGAAAGGCAGCGGCGGCACCGAGUCCGGUCCUCGAGCGUAUGGGGCUUUGUCACCCGCUCUGUAGGCCCGGCCGGCGCCAGCCGACAACCCAUCAUCCUUUUCAGGUUCACCUCGGAUCAGGUAGGGAUACCCGCUGAACUUAAGCAUAUCAAUAAGCGGAGGA